GAUGAACGCUGGCGGCGUGCUUAACACAUGCAAGUCGAACGGGAAAUAUUUCAUUGAGACUUCGGUGGAUUUGAUCUAUUUCUAGUGGCGGACGGGUGAGUAACGCGUGGGUAACCUACCUUAUACAGGGGGAUAACAGUCAGAAAUGGCUGCUAAUACCGCAUAAGCGCACAGAGCUGCAUGGCUCAGUGUGAAAAACUCCGGUGGUAUAAGAUGGACCCGCGUUGGAUUAGCUUGUUGGUGGGGUAACGGCCCACCAAGGCGACGAUCCAUAGCCGGCCUGAGAGGGUGAACGGCCACAUUGGGACUGAGACACGGCCCAGACUCCUACGGGAGGCAGCAGUGGGGAAUAUUGCACAAUGGGGGAAACCCUGAUGCAGCGACGCCGCGUGAAGGAAGAAGUAUCUCGGUAUGUAAACUUCUAUCAGCAGGGAAGAUAGUGACGGUAC
rnacentral:rRNA from 1 species